rnacentral:rRNA from 1 species
CCCUUAGAUGUCCUGGGCCGCACGCGCGUUACACUGAUGCAUUCAACGAGCUUAUAACCUUGGCCGAGAGGCCUGGGCAAUCUUGUUAACGUGCAUCGUGAUAGGGAUAGUUUAUUGAAAUUAUUAAUCUUGAACGAGGAAUUCCUAGUAAACGCAGAUCAUCAAUCUGCAUUGAUUACGUCCCUGCCCUUUGUACACACCGCCCGUCGCACCUACCGAUUGGAUGGUCCGGUGAAGCCUCGGGAUUGUGGUUCUUGCCGCUUUAUUGUGGCGUGACCGCGAGAACUUGUCUAAACCUUAUCAUCUAGAGGAAGGUGAAGUCGUAACA